GGAGGAAAAGAAACCAACAGGGAUUGCCUUAGUAGCGGCGAGUGAAGCGGCAAAAGCUCAAAUUUGAAAUCUGGCACUUUCAGUGUCCGAGUUGUAAUUUGAAGAAGGUAUCUUUGGGUCUGGCUCUUGUCUAUGUUUCUUGGAACAGAACGUCACAGAGGGUGAGAAUCCCGUGCGAUGAGAUGUCCCAGACCUAUGUAAAGUUCCUUCGAAGAGUCGAGUUGUUUGGGAAUGCAGCUCUAAGUGGGUGGUAAAUUCCAUCUAAAGCUAAAUAUUGGCGAGAGACCGAUAGCGAACAAGUACAGUGAUGGAAAGAUGAAAAGAACUUUGAAAAGAGAGUGAAAAAGUACGUGAAAUUGUUGAAAGGGAAGGGCUUGAGAUCAGACUUGGUAUUUUGUAUGUUACUCUCUCGGGGGUGGCCUCUACAGUUUACCGGGCCAGCAUCAGUUUGAGCGGUAGGAUAAGUGCAAAGAAAUGUGGCACUGCUUCGGUAGUGUGUUAUAGUCUUUGUCGAUACUGCCAGCUUAGACUGAGGACUGCGGCUUCGGCCUAGGAUGUUGGCAUAAUGAUCUUAAGUCGCCCGUCUUGA
rnacentral:rRNA from 1 species